GACGAACGCUGGCGGCGUGCCUAAUACAUGCAAGUCGAGCGAACUGAUUAGAAGCUUGCUUCUAUGACGUUGGCGGCGGACGGGUGAGUAACACGUGGGCAACCUGCCUGCAAGACUGGGAUAACUCCGGGAAACCGGAGCUAAUACCGGAUAACAUUUUUUCUUGCAUAAGAGAAAAUUGAAAGAUGGUUUCGGCUAUCACUUACAGAUGGGCCCGCGGUGCAUUAGCUAGUUGGUGAGGUAACGGCUCACCAAGGCAACGAUGCAUAGCCGAACGGAGAGGGGGAUCGGCCACACUGGGACUGCGACACGGCCCAGACUCCUACGGGAGGCAGCAGUAGGGAAUCUUCCGCAAUGGACGAAAGUCUGACGGAGCAACGCCGCGUGAGUGAUGAAGGCUUUCGGGUCGUAAAACUCUGUUGUUAGGGAAGAACAAGUACAAGAGUAACUGCUUGUACCUUGACGGUACCUAACCAGAAAGCCACGGCUAACUACGUGCCAGCCGCCGCGGUAA
rnacentral:rRNA from 1 species